CUCAUUGCUUUUCAAGAACCAAAAUGAAGACUACAUUACACUAAAAGAAAUUGUGAGCAAUAAUUUAAACUUCGACAUUUGGUUCAGGUUCAGGUGUGACUUUUGCCAGUCGUAGACGUUCUCGACGCACCCGACAAAUAUAUGCAAAUGCUGUAACCAAAUUAAUAAUGCCACCACCUAUUAUUAAAAUUCCAAGAACAACCUGAACGUGUACAGGACGACCUUUUGAUAAAAUAACUUCUAUAAUGAAAUAAAAAAUACCAAAACAGACAAUGAGAAUCAUACACGAACAAAGUGGUACUAACAUCAAUUCCUCCUCCGUUGACAUUGCAAUGCUUUGGCCGAAUGUUGUACUUCCAAUCGCGUGUAGGUUUAUGAAGUAUUU
rnacentral:lncRNA from 1 species